UACGAAGGGGGCGAGCGUUGUUCGGAAUUACUGGGCGUAAAGGGCGCGCAGGCGGCUCUGAAAGUCAGAUGUGAAAGCCCCGGGCUUAACCUGGGAAUUGCAUUUGAUACUCUGGAGCUUGAGUACGGGAGAGGAGAGUGGAAUUCCCAGUGUAGAGGUGAAAUUCGUAGAUAUUCGGAAGAACACCAGUGGCGAAGGCGACUCACUGGACACGUAUUGACGCUGAGGUGCGAAAGCGUGGGGAGCAAACAGG
rnacentral:rRNA from 1 species